AUAUACCCCAUUAACAAAGGAAGCCCAAUAUCAGUAGGACUACUUGUCUUGGGACAAAGUUAUAAGCAUACUAGCCAUGAAGCUGCUGAAAACCCUAGUUUUGCUUGUCCUGCUCAUGGCUUCAGCCAUGGCUGCAACAGAAGGCAUGCAUGAUGAGGACUGGGCAACCAUUCCUGAUGAUGGUUCGUUUGAGACUUCAGCUACAGGAAUUGGUACUGAAGCAAAAUUGAAUGGUUGGCGAGAGACUGGUAUUCACGUCAAUCUUCCUCCUCCCAAGAUAAUUAAGAAGCCAUGAAUAUAACCCAUGACCAGAGCAUGGAGCAGUGCAUAUUUUAUAUAGUUGAAGAAGAUGAAGCUAGCAGGAGCCCGUAUACCUGAUGUGUGAGUCUUGUUAGAGUCGGGCUUAUAUAUAUAUAUAUAUAUAUGCCCAAACUAGUUUGUUGAAUAAGAUGUAGCCAGUCUCUUUGUGCUGCCUUUGGCAUCUAUGCAUGCAUGCAUGCCUGCCUCUCUCUUUCAAUCUAUCUAGAGUACUUCUUGAGCUAAAUUUCAGGUAUAAUAUAUAUGUUGUGUGCUGUAUUAUGGUGCA